GACGAACGCUGGCGGCGUGCCUAAUACAUGCAAGUCGAGCGGACCGAACAGGAGCUUGCUCUUGUGCGGUUAGCGGCGGACGGGUGAGUAACACGUGGGUAACCUACCCGUAAGACCGGGAUAACUUCGGGAAACCGGAGCUAAUACCGGAUAACAUCUAAAACCGCAUGGUCUAUUAGUGAAAGGCGGCUUCGCCUGCCACUUACGAUUGAGCCCGCGGCGCCUUGGCUGUUUGGUGAGGUAAAGGCUCACCAAGGCGACGUUGCGUAGCCGGCCGGAGGGGGUGACUGGCCCACCCGGGACCUAGACCAGGGCCAGACUUCUACGGGAGGCAGCCGUAGGGAAUCCUCCGGCAUGGACGAAAGUCUGGAGGGGCGAAGCCGCGGGAGCGAAGAAGGGCUUCGGAUCGUAAAGCUCUGUUGUUAGGGAAGAAGAAGCGUCGUUAGAAACGGGCCGCGCCGUGACGGUACCUAACCAGAAAGCCACGGCUAACUACGUG
rnacentral:rRNA from 1 species